CGACCCCAGGUCAGGCGAGAUUACCCGCUGAGUUUAAGCAUAUCAAUAAGCGGAGGAAAAGAAACUUACAAGGAUUCCCUUAGUAACGGGGAGCUAAUUGGAAACAGCCCAACCUUAGAAUCGGGUGGAUCCAUCGUCCGAAUUGUAGUCUCGAGAAGCGUCCUCAGCGGAGGAUCGGGCCAUGUCCCUUGGAAGGAGGCGCCAGAGAGGGUGACAACGCCGUUGUCCCUGGACCAUGCCACACGACGAGACGCUGUCUACGAGUCAAGCUGUUUGGGAAUGCAACCCAAAUCGGGCGGUGAAUUUCAUCCUAGGCUAAAUAUGGGUGAGAGACCGAUAACGAACAAGUACCACGAGGGAAAGAUUAAAAGGACUUUGAAAAGAGAGUCAAAGAGUGCUUGAAAUUAUCGGGAGGGAAGAAGAUGGCACCCUGGUCGGAUGUGAAACAGUGACGAGCUAUUCUGCCGAUCAACUCGGGGCGUGGACCAGCGUGGAUUAGGGGGCGGCCAAAGCCCGGGCUCUUGAUAUGCCUGUGGAAUUCCAUCUCCUUGAUUUUGGUAGGAAGCGCGUGCUUUAGGCAUGCUUCGACAUAUGUGUGCUCCCCAUUCGACCCGUCUGGAAACACGGACCAAGGAGUCUGACAUGUGUCCGAGUCAAUGGGCUAGUAAAUUCGUAAGGCAUAAGGAAUCUGAUUGGUGGGAUCCUCCUAAGGGGUGCACCGCCGACCGACCUUGAUUUUCUGAGAAGGGUUCGAGUGUGGCAUACCUGCUGGGACCCGAAAAAUGGUGACCUAUGCCUAAGCGGGGCGAAGCCAAAGCAUACUCUAGUAGAGGCCCGUUGCGAUACUGACGUGCAAAUCGUUCAUCUGACUUGGGUAUAGGGGCGAAAGACUAAUUGAAUCGUCUAGUAGCUAGUUCCCUUCGAAGUAUCCCUUAGAAUAGCUAGAGCUCAGGUACGAGUUCAAUCGGGUAAAGCCAAUGAUUAGAGGCUCCAUGGGGCAACACCCUGACCUAUUUUCAAACUUUAAAUCAGAAGGACGACGUGACUGCUUUGUUGAGCUGCACCAUGUAAUCAAGAGCUCCAAGUGGGCCAUUUUUGGUAAACUGGACUGGCGAUGAGGGAUGAACCGAAAGCCGGCUUAUGGUUCCAAACUGCACUCUAAACAAGAUCCAACAAAGGGUGUUGGUCGAUUAAGACAGCAGGAAGGUGGUCAUCGAAGUCAAAAUCCGCUAAGGAGUGUGUACCAACUCACCUGCCGAGUAAACUAGCCCCAAAAAUGGAUGGGCACUUAAGCGCGCGACCUACACUUAGCCAUCGGGGCAAGUGCUAGACCCCGAUGAGUUGGAGGGAAUGCCGGUCGCUACAAAACCUUGGGCAUGAGCCUGCGCGGAGCAGCCGUCAGUGUAGAUCUUGGUGGUAGUAGUAAAUAUUCAAAUGAGGACUUUGAAGGCCGAAAAAGGGAAAUGUUCAAAGUGAACAGCACUAGCACAUGGGUUAGUCAAUCCUAUGGGUCAGGGGAACCCCGAUAGAUAGCGCGUUUCACACGUACUCCGAAAAGGAAUCGGGUUAAAAUUAUUGAACCGAAACGUGGCGGUUGACGACAACGUUAGGAAGUCGACAAACGUCGGUGGGAGCCUCGGGAAAGGUUGUCUUUUCUAUUUAGCAUCAUGCCCACCAUGGAAUCGGCUUGCCGGAGGUAGGGUCCAGCGGCUGAAAGAGCACUACACAUCACAUGGUGUCUGGUCCGCUCCCGACGACCCUUGAAAAUCCAGAGGACCUAAUGUCGUCCACGCUCGGUCGUACUCAUAACUGCAUCAGGUCUCCAAGGUGAACAACCUCUGGUUGAUUGAAUAAUGUAGGCAAGGAAAGUCGGCAAAAUGGAUCCGUAACUUCGUGAAAAGAAUUGGCUCUGAGGGUUUGGCAUGGGGGUCCUAGUACCGAACCCACUGGCUGUCCGUGAACUGCAUGAGCUGAUCUCGCGGAAAUAGUGGGUCGCCGUGUGCCGGUCGAGAGACGGACUGGGAACGGUUCCUUUGGGGGCCUUCCCUAGGAGUCAAAUAGCCAACUCAGAACUGGUACGGACAAGGGGAAUUCGACUAUUUAAUUAAAACAAGGCAUUGCGAUGGUCCCAACGGAUGUUUACGCAAUGUGAUUUUUGUCCAGUGCUCUGAAUGUCAAAGUGAAGAAAUUCAACCAUGCGGGGGUAAAUGGCCGGAGUAAAUAUGACUCUCUUAAGGUAGCCAAAUGCCUCUUCAUCUAAUUAGUGAUGUGUAUGAAUGUAUUAAUAAGAUUCCCACUAUCCCUAUCUAAUAUCCAGCGAAACCACAGCCAAGGGAACAUGUUUGGCAGAAUCAGCAGGGAAAUAAGACUCUUUUAAGCCUGAGUCUAGUCCGACUUUAUGAAAUGACUUGAGAGGUGUAGUAUAAGUGGGAGUCGAAAAGCGAAAGUGAAAUACCACUACUUUUAACAUUAUUUUACUUAUUUUGUGAAUCGAAAGAGGGGGACUACCCCUCUUUUUGGACCCAAGGCUUGCUUUACGGGUCGAUCCGGGGGGAAGACAUUGUCAGUGGGGAGUUUGGCUGGGGUGGCACAUCUGUUAAAAUAUAACGCAGGUGUCCAAAGAUGAGCUCAACGAAAAUAGAAAAAUCAUGUGGAUCGGAAGGAUAAAAGCUCAUUUGAUUCUGAUUUCCAGUACGAAUACGAACCGUGAAUGCAUGGCCUAACGAUCUUUUAGACCUUCAAAAUUCUAAGCUGGAGGUAUCAGAAAAGUUACCACAAGGAUAACUAGCUUGUGGCAGCCAAGCUAUAUAGUGAAAUUUAUUUUUGAUCCUUCGAUGUCGGCUCUUCCUAUCAUUGUGAAGUAAAAUUCACCAAGUGUUGGAUUGUUCACCCACCAAUAGGGAACGUGAGCUGGGUUUAGACCAUCGUGAGAUAGGUUAGUUUUACCCUACUGACGACAGUGUCGCAAUACUAAUUAAACCUAGUAAGAGAGGAACCGUUGAUUUACAUAAUUUGUCAUCACGCUUGGUUGAAAAGCCAGUGGCAUGAAGCUACCAUGUGCUGGAUUAUGACUGAACGCCUCUAAAUCAGAAUUCGGGCAAGAAGCGACGCAUGCGCUCGCCGUCCGCUUGCUGACCCGCAGUAGGGGCCUUUAGCCCCCAAGUGAAUGUUUUGUUGCCUAAGUCAUCGCGACGAAAGCGUCGCGGUGACCGCCUUGAAGUACAAUUUUCAUCGAGCGGUGGGUAGUAUCCUUUGCAUAAGGCAUAAAUACACGACGGGGUAUUGUAAGUGGAAGAGUAUCCUUGCUGCCACGAUCCACUAAGAUACAACCUUUUGUCACUCCGAUUCAU